rnacentral:rRNA from 1 species
UACGGGGGAGCAAGCGUUGUUCGGAUUUACUGGGCGUAAAGGGCGCGUAGGCGGUCAGCACAAGUCAAUUGUGAAAUCUCCGAGCUUAACUCGAAAAGGUCAACUGAAACUGUGCGACUAGAGUGCGGAAGGGGCAACUGGAAUUCUUGGUGUAGCGGUGAAAUGCGUAGAUAUCAAGAGGAACACCUGCGGCGAAGGCGGGUUGCUGGGCCGACACUGACGCUGAAGCGCGAAAGCCAGGGGAGCGAACGGG